UGGCCUCCGGGGCGCAGCAGUGAGGAAUAUUGGUCAAUGGGCGGGAGCCUGCCCCCUCCACGUCUCGUGAGGGAAGACGGUCCUAUGGAUUGUAAACCUCUUUAGGCGGGGAGCAAUGCCGGGCACGCGUGCCCGGAGGGAGAGUACCCGCAGAAUAAGCAUCGGCUAACUCCGUGCCAGCAGCCGCGGUAAUACGGAGGAUGCGAGCGUUAUCCGGAUUUAUUGGGUUUAAAGGGGGCGUAGGCGGAUUUUUAAGUCAGCG
rnacentral:rRNA from 1 species